AGGCUGCCGGGCCUCCGCCCCCUGCGUGCUGAGGGCUGUCUGCGCUUUCUGGCGGCCCCACCCCCGGCUCUCUGAGCUCCGCGAGGUUGCUGAAAAAGAUGAGGCUGGAGAAGACAGCAGGAGCCAAAUGAUGGAUCAUCUAUGCCCUGGUGAGGCAAUGAGUGGACAGACUACAAUUUAAGCGAUUCUGUUGGUAGAGAAUAGAUAACUUGGUGGUGGGGUGGAGGGGAAGGAAAAGGGCAAGCAGAGAGUGGACAAGGGGUCAUCGCAGAAGUCUAGAAGAGAAAACUUAAGGACCCUUGUGUGAGUAGCAGUGAACAUCCAAAGGAGAUGGAUUCCUAAAAUAGUCAAGAGGCCAGAUCAACUAAUACUUGGUUGCUAGGGGCAGCUGCAGGAUAGGAGAAUGGAAGAGGCAAUGAUGAUGCCUUGUUUUGCUUUGAGGGAGGAGUAGAAUAAGGGUGUAUUUUACGAAGUAAGAUAAGGAAGUGUUAGGACUGGGAGGGACAGUCAUUUUUGCAGGAAAAAAUGAGUUUAGUUUUGGAGCUGAUGUGUGAAGUAAGAGUGGUGCUGUCUAAUGGUGCUUAAUAUAUGGGUCUAGAGUUCUGGGGAGGAGCUGGGCUGAAGUUGGAAACACCACAGGUUUACGUUACCACAUCCAAGCUGACUACAGUCUUAACGUCAUUGAGCACAGUUUCAAAACCACUUCUCCUUUCUCCCUGCCUUUACUUGGGAAAAUUACUGAAGUGCUGCAUUAAAAAACCCAAUAUGAGUGAUUUGUGCCCAUUCAUAGACCAAUAUUCUAAUGUUUAAUGGUCUUCUAAGGACCCUAAGGGUCAGGGUUAGCAGAAACUGGGUGUAACAGUGGUAACUAUUAAUAGUAUAGCAUCAUUAACUCAAAAAUGAAAUCUAUGUUUAUAUUUUAAUUUUUUUCUUUUUUAUUCUGUAGGAAUUGCUCCAUUCCAAUAAAACAUUUUAAAUUUAAUCAUUGACAACAGUUAAGCUGGCCAUAGGCUAAGAAUUGAGGAUGGUGGGUCGCACAAAUAUCUGCUGAAUGGAGAACUAGAAGGAGGAUGACUUCAAGAAGAGUAAGCAAUAGGAAUGCAAUGAAAGACAACGUCAAAUUCAUUAGUCAGCCUGUCUCAGUUGCUUUUCGGUGGCUCACAGCUCUGCUAACCUAGCAUAAAUCAGUCAGAAAUAGAAUAGUUCAUUUUGAGCAGAGGCUUCAGAAAACCACAAAUAGUAAAAGCCCUAUAAUAACUACACCUGCAAACCAAAGACUAAUUAUUGGUUUUAGCUCUAUAUCCCUGUAGAACAGCAUUUUUGAAUACACACAAAAAUGAGAAAUUUGUUCACUUCUUAGAUUAUUUAAAUACAGUAUUUUCAAUUUGCCUAGGAUAAAGAAGCAUUUAGAUGUGUUGAACAUUCAUAUAAUGGAUAAUAUACUGAACAAGAAAUGAGAAUAAUUAGCUUGAGUUCGUUUUUUGUUAGUUGUUCACUGUAUGACCCUAGCAGUGUCACUUAACCUCUCUAUGCCCUAGUUUCUUGACUGUAAAAUAGAGAUAAUAAUGUCUGUCAGUCGCAUCUCAGAGAUAUAGGAAAUAACAAAUUAAUGCUAUGAAAGCUCUUUGAGGUACUUGGAUGAAAGGGCAUAAUUGUAAGUACAUAUUAUUAAUAAUUAGCUCUAAUAUCCAGUAGCACUCAUGACCAUUACUAACUUUGCUGCCUGGAUUACUCAAAGAACAUGAAGGAUCCAGUUUUGAAAUGCACUUAGAUAUUUUUUCUUGA